AACUACGGCCAUGCCACCCUGAACAAAGCCCGAUCCGCUCUGAUCUCGGAAGCUAAGCAGGGUCUGGCCCAGUCAGACCACCUAGGAAGACCAGAUGCUGUAGGCG
rnacentral:rRNA from 1 species